rnacentral:rRNA from 1 species
UAUGAAUGAAUUUACUAAUAUGGCUUUUUUAUUUUUUCUGAAAUUAUAAUUUUGUUGAGAAUAACAAAAUUUUCUUUAAGACAAAAAGACCCUAAAAUUUUUAUAAUAAUGUUAUUAUUUAGUUGGGGAAAUUUAAAUUUUUAAAUACUUUGAAAUAAAAUUAUUAUUGAACUUAUUAUACUGAAAGUUGGAAAAAUACUCUAGGG